GGGUUGUGAGGUUAAGCGACUAAGCGUACACGGUGGAUGCCCUGGCAGUCAGAGGCGAUGAAGGACGUGCUAAUCUGCGAUAAGCGUCGGUAAGGUGAUAUGAACCGUUAUAACCGGCGAUUUCCGAAUGGGGAAACCCAGUGUGUUUCGACACACUAUCAUUAACUGAAUCCAUAGGUUAAUGAGGCGAACCGGGGGAACUGAAACAUCUAAGUACCCCGAGGAAAAGAAAUCAACCGAGAUUCCCCCAGUAGCGGCGAGCGAACGGGGAGCAGCCCAGAGCCUGAAUCAGUGUGUGUGUUAGUGGAAGCGUCUGGAAAGGCGUGCGAUACAGGGUGACAGCCCCGUACACAAAAAUGCACAUGCUGUGAGCUCGAUGAGUAGGGCGGGACACGUGGUAUCCUGUCUGAAUAUGGGGGGACCAUCCUCCAAGGCUAAAUACUCCUGACUGACCGAUAGUGAACCAGUACCGUGAGGGAAAGGCGAAAAGAACCCCGGCGAGGGGAGUGAAAAAGAACCUGAAACCGUGUACGUACAAGCAGUGGGAGCACAGAGCAAUCUGUGUGACUGCGUACCUUUUGUAUAAUGGGUCAGCGACUUAUAUUCUGUAGCAAGGUUAACCGAAUAGGGGAGCCGAAGGGAAACCGAGUCUUAACUGGGCGUUAAGUUGCAGGGUAUAGACCCGAAACCCGGUGAUCUAGCCAUGGGCAGGUUGAAGGUUGGGUAACACUAACUGGAGGACCGAACCGACUAAUGUUGAAAAAUUAGCGGAUGACUUGUGGCUGGGGGUGAAAGGCCAAUCAAACCGGGAGAUAGCUGGUUCUCCCCGAAAGCUAUUUAGGUAGCGCCUCGUGAAUUCAUCUCCGGGGGUAGAGCACUGUUUCGGCAAGGGGGUCAUCCCGACUUACCAACCCGAUGCAAACUGCGAAUACCGGAGAAUGUUAUCACGGGAGACACACGGCGGGUGCUAACGUCCGUCGUGAAGAGGGAAACAACCCAGACCGCCAGCUAAGGUCCCAAAGUCAUGGUUAAGUGGGAAACGAUGUGGGAAGGCCCAGACAGCCAGGAUGUUGGCUUAGAAGCAGCCAUCAUUUAAAGAAAGCGUAAUAGCUCACUGGUCGAGUCGGCCUGCGCGGAAGAUGUAACGGGGCUAAACCAUGCACCGAAGCUGCGGCAGCGACGCUUAUGCGUUGUUGGGUAGGGGAGCGUUCUGUAAGCCUGCGAAGGUGUGCUGUGAGGCAUGCUGGAGGUAUCAGAAGUGCGAAUGCUGACAUAAGUAACGAUAAAGCGGGUGAAAAGCCCGCUCGCCGGAAGACCAAGGGUUCCUGUCCAACGUUAAUCGGGGCAGGGUGAGUCGACCCCUAAGGCGAGGCCGAAAGGCGUAGUCGAUGGGAAACAGGUUAAUAUUCCUGUACUUGGUGUUACUGCGAAGGGGGGACGGAGAAGGCUAUGUUGGCCGGGCGACGGUUGUCCCGGUUUAAGCGUGUAGGCUGGUUUUCCAGGCAAAUCCGGAAAAUCAAGGCUGAGGCGUGAUGACGAGGCACUACGGUGCUGAAGCAACAAAUGCCCUGCUUCCAGGAAAAGCCUCUAAGCAUCAGGUAACAUCAAAUCGUACCCCAAACCGACACAGGUGGUCAGGUAGAGAAUACCAAGGCGCUUGAGAGAACUCGGGUGAAGGAACUAGGCAAAAUGGUGCCGUAACUUCGGGAGAAGGCACGCUGAUAUGUAGGUGAAGUCCCUCGCGGAUGGAGCUGAAAUCAGUCGAAGAUACCAGCUGGCUGCAACUGUUUAUUAAAAACACAGCACUGUGCAAACACGAAAGUGGACGUAUACGGUGUGACGCCUGCCCGGUGCCGGAAGGUUAAUUGAUGGGGUUAGCGCAAGCGAAGCUCUUGAUCGAAGCCCCGGUAAACGGCGGCCGUAACUAUAACGGUCCUAAGGUAGCGAAAUUCCUUGUCGGGUAAGUUCCGACCUGCACGAAUGGCGUAAUGAUGGCCAGGCUGUCUCCACCCGAGACUCAGUGAAAUUGAACUCGCUGUGAAGAUGCAGUGUACCCGCGGCAAGACGGAAAGACCCCGUGAACCUUUACUAUAGCUUGACACUGAACAUUGAGCCUUGAUGUGUAGGAUAGGUGGGAGGCUUUGAAGUGUGGACGCCAGUCUGCAUGGAGCCGACCUUGAAAUACCACCCUUUAAUGUUUGAUGUUCUAACGUUGACCCGUAAUCCGGGUUGCGGACAGUGUCUGGUGGGUAGUUUGACUGGGGCGGUCUCCUCCUAAAGAGUAACGGAGGAGCACGAAGGUUGGCUAAUCCUGGUCGGACAUCAGGAGGUUAGUGCAAUGGCAUAAGCCAGCUUGACUGCGAGCGUGACGGCGCGAGCAGGUGCGAAAGCAGGUCAUAGUGAUCCGGUGGUUCUGAAUGGAAGGGCCAUCGCUCAACGGAUAAAAGGUACUCCGGGGAUAACAGGCUGAUACCGCCCAAGAGUUCAUAUCGACGGCGGUGUUUGGCACCUCGAUGUCGGCUCAUCACAUCCUGGGGCUGAAGUAGGUCCCAAGGGUAUGGCUGUUCGCCAUUUAAAGUGGUACGCGAGCUGGGUUUAGAACGUCGUGAGACAGUUCGGUCCCUAUCUGCCGUGGGCGCUGGAGAACUGAGGGGGGCUGCUCCUAGUACGAGAGGACCGGAGUGGACGCAUCACUGGUGUUCGGGUUGUCAUGCCAAUGGCACUGCCCGGUAGCUAAAUGCGGAAGAGAUAAGUGCUGAAAGCAUCUAAGCACGAAACUUGCCCCGAGAUGAGUUCUCCCUGACUCCUUGAGAGUCCUGAAGGAACGUUGAAGACGACGACGUUGAUAGGCCGGGUGUGUAAGCGCAGCGAUGCGUUGAGCUAACCGGUACUAAUGAACCGUGAGGCUUAACCUUACAACGCCGAAGCUGUU
rnacentral:rRNA from 1 species